GACUGGGAUAACUUCGGGAAACCGGAGCUAAUACCGGAUAAUAUAUUGAACCGCAUGGUUCAAUAGUGACAGACGGUUUUGCUGUCACUUAUAGAUGGAUCCGCGCCGCAUUAGCUAGUUGGUAAGGUAACGGCUUACCAAGGCAACGAUGCGUAGCCGACCUGAGAGGGUGAUCGGCCACACUGGAACUGAGACACGGUCCAGACUCCUACGGGAGGCAGCAGUAGGGAAUCUUCCGCAAUGGGCGAAAGCCUGACGGAGCAACGCCGCGUGAGUGAUGAAGGUCUUCGGAUCGUAAAACUCUGUUAUUAGGGAAGAACAAAUGUGUAAGUAACUAUGCACGUCUUGACGGUACCUAAUCAGAAAGCCACGGCUAACUACGUGCCAGCAGCCGCGGUAAUACGUAGGUGGCAAGCGUUAUCCGGAAUUAUUGGGCGUAAAGCGCGCGUAGGCGGUUUUUUAAGUCUGAUGUGAAAGCCCACGGCUCAACCGUGGAGGGUCAUUGGAGACUGGAAAACUUGAGUGCAGAAGAGGAAAGUGGAAUCCCAUGUGUAGCGGUGAAAUGCGCAGAGAUAUGGAGGAACACCAGUGGCGAAGGCGACUUUCUGGUCUGUAACUGACGCUGAUGUGCGAAAG
rnacentral:rRNA from 1 species